CAUUCAUACAUACAACAUUUGAUUUACCAAACCAAACCCCCCUUAAAAACCGAGUCAGGAGUCAAGAUGAAACCUUUCAAAUUUUCCCCGGGAGAAUUAACUGUUGAUCGAUCAGGCUGCUGGGAGCAUGCCAUGGCUUUCUGUUUCUGGGAUCCUUUCAGUUUAAGGUUUUGAUCGCCAGCCAUUGCAGAGGGAGAGGUUUUUUCUAAACAAGCUGAGAUGUCAAACGAAUCUGUUAGAUCUUCAAAGCCCGGAGAUGGUGACCAUACCACACUCGCCCGGACUUUCAAGUAUCUGUUAGCCACGCAGUUCUUAUCAAGGGGAAUCCCUUUUAUUUUCAAUACAUGGAUCGUGAGACACCUUACGGAAAAGGACUAUGCGCUUUAUGCAGUUCAAUUUCAUCUUUUUGUCACGUCUAUAUUGUUUCUAAGUAGGGAGGGCUUUCGGAGAGCAUGCAUGAGGGCAGAUAUUAGAUGGUAAUUUCUUUCGUCAUACUUUUAUGUGAUUAUGUGUAGCUUCUUUUUCAGGUUCAAUGCCAUUUAUUUCUGCUUGUUGGUUUUCUGACAGUUUUGGUCAGACAUGAUUCAUAUCGUUACUUCUGGCAAUUGCUUUUGGUUUACUUUUUCUAUUAUUUUUUCUCUUUGCAUGGAUCCAUGUAGCCGAGACCAUUUAGUUGGGAUAAGGUUGAGUUUUUUCUGUUGUUGCAUCGUGGAUGUUGGUAGUUACUGGUCUGCUUAUUGCACGUAGUCCAUCUUAUACGAUUUAGUGGUUGCAUCUUUCUAUUCAAGUUUAAAAUUUAGUGGUUGCAUCUUUCUAUUCAAGUUUAAAAUUUGGUGGUUGCAUCUUUCUAUUCAAGUUUAAACUUUAACUUGUAAAUGCUGCUAGAUUUUUUGUAAGCUAGUGAACAGGUUAGAAAUUAGUUAACUAGUAUGAAAACCCUGAAAAAGAAUAGCCUCUAUUUAGCAGUUUAAUUGUCCAGAUCAUAACUUGAUUUCCUUCUAUAGGGAUUUGGAAGUUUGUUCAACCCUUGCCACUAGGGGAUCAUUGUCUUUCUCAUCAAUGAGAUAUCCAAUCCAUUAUAAAUUGCCAUUUCUUAAUUGUCUGCUCGUGUUACCCAUGUACAUGUUUUGAGUACAUAGUAAUGAUAGUAUCGGUAUCUUCAAAUCAAUGUUCAGAAGAAAUGGCGUGGGAAUACAGAGGCAUUAGAUUUUUUUUAAUAAUUUGGUAAAAAUAAAAGAUUAGAAAAAUAGAAAGGAACUUUAGAAAAAACGAACUUCAUUGUGAAUGGCAUAAAAAGUGGAACUAGUGGACCUCACUGGAAUAAAUAAAGGACUGAGAAGAAGUUGAGAAAAUGAAUUGGCUUGUCUUAGAAGACAGAAACCAACCUUUAUUUAUAGAUAUGAGAUCGAUUACAUGUAUGGUAUGUUAGGUAAGAUUGAGUGAACGCUCUUUCCUAACAUACAUUGAACCUAGAAGGUCUAGUCGUCUAGUCUAUCCUUAACACUCCUCCUCAAGUUGGUGCAUAGAUAUCUCGCUUGCCUAACUUGAAUACAAUAGGAUGGAAUGACUUAGAAAUCAAUCCCUUAGUAAGUACAUUAGCUAGCUGGUUCUCUAAAGUGACAAAUGGAAUGCAAAUUGACGCUUCUUCAAAUUUCUAUUUGAUGAAGUGUUUGUCAAUCUCAAUGUGCUUGGUAGUUCUGUCCUGCUGGACUACAUUGUAGUAGGCCAUGGUGAUUGCUGCUUUAUUGUCACAGUACAGCCUCAUGGGUUCUUUAGAUGUUACCUCUAGAUCUCCCAGUAGCACUUUGAGCCAGAUAAGUUCACACACAUCUUGCGCAAUAGCUAUGUACUGUGCUUUAGCAUUGGACCUAGAACUACUAAUUGCUUCUUGCUUAGCCAGGUGACCAGAUUAUCACCGAGGAAUGUACAAUAUCUUGAAGUAGAGAACCGAUCGGCUCAGUCAGCAUUAGUAAAGCAUUCCAACUUUAGAUUGUCAUUGGAAAAUAAAUACCCAUUCUUGGUGCUGAUUUCAAGCACCUCAAUAUUUGGUAUGCAGUCUCAAGAUGAUUUUUCUAUGGAUCAUGUAGGAAACGACUCAAAACCAAUAGCAUAAGCAUUAUUUGGCCGGGUAUGGGAGAGGUAUAUCAACCUACCCACAAGAUGCUGAUAUCUCUUCUUGUCUACUGGUUCACCCCCUUUGCAGCUAAGUUGGUGGUUAACUUUUGUAGGAGACUCUGCAGGUUUACACCUAGCAUCCUUGUGUCAAUGAGAAGUUUGAGGACUUAUUUUCUUUGGAAAAUGAAGAUCCUUUUGUCUGAGUAGGCUAAUUCAAUCCCUAUAAAAUAUCUGAGGGGGCCUAAAUCAACUCUAUAGACAGUUCAGUGUUUAACAAGGAGAUUUAUGCAUCCUUAUGCUUGACAAAUAGUGUAUGAUAUCUCUCAUUGUCAACCAUUUCACCCCCUUUGCAGCUAAGUUGGUGGUUAACCUCUGUAGGAGACUCUGUAGGUUCACACCUAGCAUCCUUGUGUCAAUGAGAAGUUCGAGGACAUAUUUUCUUUGGAAAAUGAAGAUCCUUUUGUUUGAGUAGGCUACUUCAAUCUCUAUAAAAUAUCUGAGGGGGCGUAAAUCAAUUCUAUAGACAGUUCAAUGUUUAACAAGGAGAUUUAUGCAUCCUUAUGCUUGACAAAUAGGGUACGAUCAACAUGGCUUUGUUUGUACCCAAACUGUAGCAUAACCUUCCGGAUUCUUCCAAACCAAGCUCUAUGUCUGCUUGAGACCAUAAAGGGACUUCCAUAAUCUACACCUCUUCUUCGAUGUUAUCAUUAAGGAAUGCAUUCUUCACAUAAAGUUGUUGGGGACUCCAUUGAGAUUUGCAGCACAGGAGAGAAGAGCCCGAACAAAGUUCAUCUUUGCAACAAGGAUUAGGGACAUGAAGGAUAGAAGAUAAAGAGAUGGUAGGGCCGUAGGGGAGCAAGAAAUAGAAACUCUAUCGGAGAUAGCUGACAAGGACCCAUCAGCAACUCGAAUUUUGUCUUUACCCGAGCAAGGGAGAUAGGUUUGAAACAUGUUCGAGGAGCUGAGCAUAUGAUUGGAGGCCUUAAAUCAUGCAAGGUUCAAAAAAUCAUUUUGUUUCUCUGUUUCGAUCAAUUCAAAACUACCGAAAUAUCGAAAUUUUGCCAAAAGUGUAUUUUUUCCAUAAUUUUUUUGCUUGGCCAUUUGGGGGGGCUAAUGGCCGGAAUGACCGAAAUUAGUGAAAUGAAAUGGCCAACACAUUGAUGAAAUAAUGCAUUUUUGUACCGAAAUGAGCAAAAUUUCAAAAUGAAAUAUCCGAAAUUUCGGAGAAUUUUUGAACCAUGGAGUCAAGUAGCCAGAAAGGACUAGGAGGUGGAGGAACAUAAAAUAUGCAUGAUUGUGUGAGGUUAGAAGUUGGUGUGGAGGAAGAAGCCAUGGUGGAAGGAGUAAAACCAAGUUGUGUCAUCACGUGUUAGAGAGCCAUCAUCUAAUCUGAAGAGAAAGGGGAAACCGUUGCAGAGGAGUGCUAUCAGAAGGCUCAUACAUAUGAACUUGAGAGAGAGAGGACCCUUGUUUCCCACUACACCCCCCCCCUUUAGGGCGAUCAUGAAGUUUCAACAAGUUUCUCUGGUGUGAUGGGUAUGGCCAUAGUAAUCACAUUUAACUGGUUUUUUGGCAGGAGCAACUGGUUUAUGGGUAAUGUUAAGAUCCACCUGUGGAGUAGUGACUAGUGCUGAAUGAGUAGGUGCAAUAGUUGGCAUCAUAACAGAGUGACGUUGUUCCGCAUAUUGAACUAAAUUAUAAGUCUCAACUCUCAAGUAGUGUGGGAAAUUUUUCAUUGUCAAGAACCUAAACACGGAUUUGAUUAUACUCGGGGUUUAGUCCAGUGAGAAAAAAUCAUAUACCCUUUCCAUCUCACACUCCUUUUAUAUGGUACUAGCAUCAGUAGUACAUGCCAUGGAAAUAGUAUGAUAAAAGUCCAAUUGUUGCCGUAGUGUAUUAAGGGUGGAGUAGUAGGCAGGGAGGGAUAGCUCCUUCUUGGUAGUCUCAUGGACUUGCCGUCGAAGCUCAUGUAUUUGAGCAUAAUUAUUGGACUCCAUCCCAUUUUCCUUGGCUGAGUUCAACAAAACAAAACUUGGAGUGAUAGUGGGGUCCAUAGAGUUCAAUAAAAAAGACAUAACGAGAGCAUUGUUGGGCAACCAAGUAUUUACAACUAUAGUAUCGGUUGGUUUAGGGGUGUCACUAGUCAAAUACCCCAAAAGAUUAUUACCUCGGAUAGAAAGAAGGCACACCGGCGACCAAGUAAGGAAUUUGGCCCCAUUCAACUUAGUGGGUCCUAUACAUGGUUUAAAGUAUCUCCGAUACCGAUAUGAUACCCUCCAAUACGUAUCUUAAAUUUAGCCGA